GACGUGAUUUCGACAGGGGACUGCAAUACGCUUGAUGGGAUAGAAACUGCCAUCUGCUUCCUGACUUUGUCUACUUCCUACACCAUCUGUCAUGGAGGCUGUUGAAGACGAUUCAACAAGAAAGGAACACGCAUCAGACUGGGAGGCGACCUGCAGAGCACAGAGCAUGCGGACAGGACAGAGGGCCUGGGACAGGAGGCCAGCAUGGGCCCUGCUAUUUUCCACCUCGGAGGCCCAGGUGGACGGGAGGACCUGCAGGCAUCGGGUGCCACGUACGGAAACAUGUACAGAAAACUUAAAGUAAUUUUAGGAAAAACACAAAGGUUAUAAAGAAAGAAGUCAACCAUAAUGAAGUUACGCAGAAGUAACCACGGUGAAAAGUUUAGUUUAAG